rnacentral:rRNA from 1 species
UACGGGGGAUACAAGCGUUGUCCGGAAUGAUUGGGCGUAAAGCGUCUGUAGGCGGCUUGGUAAGUCCGUUCUGAAAGCCCGGGGCUCAACCCCGGGAGGCGGAUGGAUACUGUCAAGCUCGAGUCCGGAAGAGGCGAGUGGAAUUCCAGGUGUAGCGGUGAAAUGCGUAGAUAUUGGGAGGAACACCAGUGGCGAAGGCGGCUCACUGGACCGGUACUGACGCUGAGGCGCGAAAGCGUGGGGAGCAAACAGG